CAGCAACAACAAGCGAUUGAGGAAAGACACAAUGAAUUUCUCGCAAGUUAGCAGUCAGAAUAGCUUUGUAUCAAUGUAUAAUGCACACCGACUUGUUAAAUCACCAUUUACCAGCCUCCGACGUUCGUUUCGGGAAUUCCCGGAACAUCUCCGUCUAUUUCCGACUCGACCGUCAUCGCGACGUCACUUGGUGUAUUCACCGUUACUGACCCCGACACGACGUGCAGUAUUACGUCAACGGUGACGUCAGUGUAUGAGAUCAGACCCUUGACGUCACCGGCAGAUCCUCAAAAGCCUGAGUUCCAAGUGCCGCCGUUAUUCAAGCGUUUAUAGACUUCAAUGACCAGGCGGUUCCGGUGCCGUUGACGACCACGUGUACGGACGGAAACACCGCCAUCACGGGCACGUUCAGUGUCAACAUUGUCGACGAGCCGCCGGUGAUAUCAGCACUUCCGGCGAGCGGACGGCUAUCAACGACGGUCUUCAGACGACCGCCGCAAUUCUCCACACGUUCAGCGUGACAGACAGCGAUGACGCCGUAACGUGCUCCGUGAGGCCGCCCACAUUUGUCUCCGGCAUGCCCCGAAGUUCCGCGAGCAUCUCUGACGCCACUGUCACACAGACGUUGCUCGGGAAAUUCACAACUUCAGACCCUGAUACAACGAGAAAAGUGACGUCACCGGCGAAUCCUCAACAACCUGAGAUUGAAGUGUGGAUCAAAAGCACCGUAACUCAAGCGUCUAUCGACUUCAACGACCAGACCGUUCCGUUGCCGUUAACGAUAAAAUGUACUGACGGAUACGUCGCGAAUGAUAUCACGGGAACGUUUAACGUCAAUAUUGUCGACAAGCCCCCAGUGAUUACCUUACUACCCUCUACCGGAAGUUCCAUCAACGAUGGUAUGCAGGCAGCCGCGGUGACUACCCAUACGUUCAGCGGCGACCAUCCAUACGUUUAACGUCACCGACAGCGACGACGUUGUCACGUGCUCCAUACGAGCGCCGGAAUCCACCUUUUUUUGAAGUGGUAGCCGCAACUAGCCCAGCGUUCAGUAUCCGCGUGAAAGCAGGAGUGACGUUGGCUGCAGCUGUCAGUCCGUACGUCAUGAACGUUGAUUGCACAGAUGCCGUAACCGCCGUCAGUUCAACGUUUACCCAGCCAGUCCUUGAUAAGCCGCCGACAUUUUUAUCUAGGAUUCCCGGGAAUUCCACUGACGUCUCAGACGACACCGUGAUUGCGACGUCACUGGGAAAGUUCACAACUACGGACCCUGAUACCACGUGUUCUGUGACGUUACCUGUGACAACCGUCUAUGAGAUCAAAAAAGCAGCGUCACCGACCGAUCCCCAGAAACCGGGGUUUACAAUUAACGUAAAGGCGGGGGUAACGCUAAGAGCUGCGAACGGACCUUACGUCAUCAACGUCGACUGCUCAGAUGGCGACAAUGACGUCACUGCGACGUUCACACAACCAGUGAUU